GAGGUGUCCCUGCCCAUGGCACUGGGUGAGCUUUAAGGUCCCUUCCAACCCAAACCACUCCAGGAUUUUAUGAUUUUAACACCAAAACCCUCCCGAGGUUUUGCUGCCCAAAUCAGCCAGACCAGGAACGGCCAUCCUGGACCACAGAGCCCACCUGGCUGUAAAAAUGGAUUUUGCCCUGAUGCUCCACGGCCUUGGGAUCCAUCUGGUUGGAUCAUGUUAAAAUAAAUGAAAGCCAUUUCUGCCUGGCAGGGAAAUGGGCUGUGCUGGCAAAACACGGAUAUUAACCCGGGCAGGAGAAGAUGAAAUAGGCAGGAUUAAGGUCUGUGGGCCUGGGGAAGCUCUGUCCUGCAGGGCAGAUUUGUUCUGUGUGCAGGUGGCUCCUGAUUGCCUGCUUUGGGUUGAAACACUCACCCAUGGGCAAUCCAAACCCCGUGCCAGCAAAAGAAUAAAAGUAAACCAGGAAUGGGCUGGUUGGGAUGAAUUAAUCCUGCAUGAAUCUAAAAAUCAGGGGUUUACUGUCAUAAUUUACUCCAGAAGAACAACAACAAUGGCAAAUUAUUUAUCCGAAAAGAGUAUUUACUGAAAACUGUGGCUUGGCCAACAGUGAAAACGAAACCAUUUUUUUUCUCUGGAAACAGCAUUUCUGUUUGCAGAAACAGAGACAUUUUUCAUCAGACCCCGGCCACAAAACAAGCAGGAGCAGCCUAUGGAUUAUGAAUGAAUAUUUAAUUUAUUGUGGGAGUUCUGUGCCCCGCCCAGUGCAUCCACAGCAGCUCUUUAAUGGUUUCUCUGCAUCCCGGGGUAAAAUUUCUCUCAGCCUCAAGGCAGGAGCUGCAUCAAUCUUCUCUGGAGGCUUGGCCCUUCCUCAUUCACACUGGAAAUAGUGCAACAGGCCCUGUGCCAGCUUAGAAAUCAUUAAUGGGAUGAGUUUUCCUCGUAACGGCCGGAAAAAGCUGACUUUGGUUUAAUGCUGGACCGGGGAGGGAGGAAAGUUCAUCUCCUUCAUUGAUUCUGUGUCAUUUUUUAUUGCUUUAAUUCAUGCAAAACGCUUUUAUUCACGCAGCUCCGGGUCUGCCUGCAGAACGAGUCGCAGCAAAGGCGGGGAAGGCAUCCAGCUGGUUUUGGGGUAAUCUGGUGGGGUUUUUCUCCUUCCAGAGGAAAAAAAAUGUCAUUUUUAGCCCAUUUUUAUUGGCAGAAAGGCUUUUCCUUGCACUGUGUGGGAAGCUUGACCUGCAUCAUCAUUCUGUGCUCAACUGCUGACGGUUUUGGGGUGAUCUGGUGGGGUUUGAGGAAGGGGUGAAGUCCCAGGGGCUGUUUCCAUCCCGCCCUCGCUCCCUGGAGAUGGCAAAAAGUCCGGACUCGAGCUCAAAUUCCACUUCCAGUUCAUGCAGAAACCUCUUCAAACCCUCCAAGGGGAAAAAUAAUCGGGAGCAAGCGUGUCCAGAGGGCUGAUGAGGUGUGCUCUGCAGAGCCUGGAUUAUUCUCUGAUGGAAUACUCACCCUGGAAUGAUCCCUCCGAAGCAGAACUCCUCGGAAUUCUCUCGGGAAGGUGAUGUUUGGCUCCUGCCUGGAUGAGAGCAGAGAAAAUCCAGUCUGGGGACAGAGAGGGCCAGUGGCAAAAGCCCUGGCGGCCCUUCCUUCCCAGCUGGGAGGAGCGAUGCUGUUGUUUUCCCAUCUCAGUGUGUAAUUAAAAAUUUGAGGUUUUAUGAGGAUAUUUUGCAUUUUUUUUGUGGUGAGACCUUCGUUGCUCACUUGGGCUGGGCUCCCUGCAGAGAGCUCUCCUUCCAGAGGAAAAAAGGUCAUUUUUAGCCCGUUUUUAGUGGCAGAAACAUCAUUUUUUAGCCUGUUUUUGGUGGCAGAAAUGUCUUUUUUACCCCUUUUUUAGUGGCAGAAAUAUCAUUUUUAGCCCAUUUUUAGUGGCAGAAAUGUCAUUUUUUAGCCCGUUUUUAGUGGCAGAAAUAUCAUUUUUACCCCUUUUUUAGUGGCAGAAAUGUCAUUUUUAGCCCAUUUUUAGUGGCAGAAAUGUCAUUUUUUAGCCCGUUUUUAGUGGCAGAAAUGUCAUUUUUACCCCUUUUUUAGUGGCAGAAGGGCUUUUCCCUGGGAAAUCUCGACCUGCAUCACCACUCCAUGUUCAACCACAGGAUUUCACCCCUCACGGACGGAAUUUCUCCGUUGCUCCUGACACCCUGAAGUUUUCCUGUACGAAGCGAAGAACAAGAUAAAAGGGCUCAAACAUGGACAAAAGGUGUUUGGGGCCAGUGGGAGCCGUCCCUGACCUCGGGGAAACUGGCCAGGAGGGAAGGGUGGCACGAGCAGGACAUUGACUCCGUGCCCUUCCAGGGAGUCACCGCUUACGUAACCCACGGUGGGGAGGAGGAGGAGGAAGAGGAGAAGUCCCAGCAUGUCCCUAAUCCCAGAGACACGUGCCAGGAGAGGAAAAUCACGGAGGGGAAAAACCGCCCGGCCAAACUUUCCAUCCAGCACCCCCCGCUGCUUCCAGAGGGGUUUUCUCCUUGGCCAGGGGCGGCUUUGUAGAGAAGCCAAGGAGCUCAUGGAAAAAAUAAAGCAGUUUAUGGCUCGUGGUGCUGGGGAGGAGUUUGUGCUGUCCAUGUGGAUCUGCUUCCCUCGGUGAUGUCAUUUGGGAACGGGAUCCACGGGCAGAUGUGACUCACGGCCCCGGGAUCCUGCUGGAGUCUUCCCUCUGUGGGCGGCUCCCCAGAGGGACCAGGGAAGGUGGGUUUGGGGCAGGAAACAGCAAAUCGGGCAGAGCUUUUCCUCGCUGUGCUCCCGAGACAAAUCCGGAUCCUCGAGGAAGCAAAUCGGCCAAAUUAAUUUAUUUUCAUUUCUGUUCCGCGGGAGCGGCCGCUGGAAUAGGAAAUAUUGGGGGCUGAACUCAUCCUGCUGAGCUUCACUCUUAGACAAGGCCUUUAAAAGGCUCUAAAUGUUCAUCUGUGGGGUUAAAAUAUUCAUCUAUUGGGGUAAAAAAUGUUUCUCCACGGGGUCAGAAGUGUUUAUCCAUAGGGUCAUAGAUGUUCAUCCAUUCAGGUUAAAAUGUUCACCCAUGGGGUUAGAAAUGUUCACCUAUAGGGUUAGAAAUCUUUAUCCAUUGGGGUAAAAGAUGUUCAUUUAUGGGGUUAAAGAUGUUUAUCCAUGGGGAUUCUAAAUAUUUAUCCAUUGGGGUUAAAAAUGUUCAUCCAUUGGGGUUAAAAAUGUUUAUCCACAGGGCUAUAAAUAUUCAUCCAUUGGGGUUAGAAAUGUUUAUCCCCGGGGUUAUAAAUGUUUAUCCCCGGGGUUAUAAAUGUUUAUCCUUGGGGUCAUAGAUGUUCAUCCAUUGGGGUUAUAAAUGUUCAUCCAUUGGGGUUAUAAAUGUUCAUCCCUGGGGUUAGAAAUGUUCAUCCCUGGGGUUAGAAACGUCCGCCCAGCUGCUCCAAUCUGAUUAGGGCUGUGAUAACCCCGCUCCUGGGCUCGCUGCUAUUCCAGCCAGGGGCACUCGUAAGCUCCUUAGGGGUGGGAAGGACCCUCCCUUCCCUGAUGCCUUCCCAGUGAGGCAUCAAGGCCUUGGCAGAUCACCUGGAUGGGUCACAGCUCCCAAAAAUGUGCUUUUGACCUCUCCCAGGCAUCACCUGGGUGCUAGGAGGGAAAAUAACAGCUUUUAUUAAAAGAAAAAGCAUUAAAAAGCUCA